UGUGAUUAUUACAUUUCUCUGUGCCUGAUAACGUAGACAGAAUAAAAAAUAAAUAAUAUAUUUUAUCAUCUAUAGCUAUAUAACCGGAAGUCUACGCCAUUCUGCCGCUGCUGAAACUACAGUUUCUGAAAAGUGGUCGGGCGAAUGCCGGACCUGCCGGACCGCUUGCUACGGGCCUGCACUGGAGAAAGUAUUGGAGAAGAAGACUAUACAGCUACUUCUCAAUACUUAAAAGACUUUUGCAAAGAAGCUGAAUCUCUCUCUAUUUUUGGAAUGUAAACACAUAAUGAUUGCAAUUGAAUUCAAUAUUAUUUGGAAUUUAGGAUCUGAUUUUUGUACUAUAAACUUGCACUUGUUACGGCAUAUGCCAGCGGUUGUAAAGCGAUGGGGACCUCUGUGGGACUUCUCUUGCUUUUGGUUUGAAAGUCUAAAUGGUCAGCUAAAGAAAUUCAUUCAUGGAACUCGAUACAUUAACAGUCAGGUAGCAUUUGCUGUUACGAUGUUUCAUAGCAUGCCAAAGUUAUUGCCAUUACCAAUAAUACACCAUUGUGGGUCAAGGAAUUUGCAGUGAAGCUAGCAAGAAUUGCUCAAAUGAAAUGUUUGAAUUGCCAAAUCAAUCUAUGACUGAUUGCGGUCAUUGCCAUAAGACAAUUGUUCCAUUGCUAUAUCUUGAUCGGAUUAAUGAAUGUUUAUAUUGAUUUCAACAAGGCGUUAUAUCUGACUCAGAUUGGAUCGAUCAAAUGCAACGUUAUAAGAUCAAAGGUCAAGUGUACGAAAAGAAGGGUAUUCAAAGGAUUAAGCAACAAAAUGGAUAUACAGUUGCAUAUCAAAGACAUCAAUGUGACACUAAGUUGUUGGGACACAUUUAUCUAGUGAAUGGACAUAUACUUUUUGUACUUUAAAAAAUGUUGAUGGUUUGACACAAUCCAGUCUUUUAUUAUCAAAAUUACACUUUAGACAAGUACAAAAAUUUUCAACCUGAUCAAAUUCGAACAGUGACUGAAACAAAGAUUUUGUUGUUAUAGAGCAAUCUGAAAUUGUGAGUAAGGUAGUUUACUUAGAUUUUGGUAGCUGCAUGUUCUAUGGAUGUUUUAUUAAUAUUGAAUUUGAUUAAA